rnacentral:tRNA from 1 species
CGGUAUGGUGUAGUAGGCAUCACACUGGACUUUCAAUCCAGAGACAGGAGUUCAAUUCUCCUUACC